GAUGCAAACUACGAAUACCGAAGAAUGUUAUCACGGGAGACACACGGCGGGUGCUAACGUCCGUCGUGAAGAGGGAAACAACCCAGACCGCCAGCUAAGGUCCCAAAGUCAUGGUUAAGUGGGAAACGAUGUGGGAAGGCACAGACAGCCAGGAUGUUGGCUUAGAAGCAGCCAUCAUUUAAAGAAAGCGUAAUAGCUCACUGGUCGAGUCGGCCUGCGCGGAAGAUGUAACGGGCUAAACCAUGCACGAAGCUGCGGCAGCGACACUAUGUGUUGUUGGGUAGGGGAGGCGUUCUGUAAGCCGUUGAAGGUGUGCUGUGAGGCAUGCUGGAGGUAUCAGAAGUGCGAAUGCUGACAUAAGUAACGAUAAAGCGGGUGAAAGCCGCUCGCCGGAAGACCAAGGGUUCCUGUCCAACGUUAAUCGGGGCAGGGUGAGUCGACCCCUAAGGCGAGGCCGAAAGGCGUAGUCGAUGGGAAACAGGUUAAUAUUCCUGUACUUGGUGUUACUGCGAAGGGGGACGGAGAAGGCUAUGUUAGCCGGGCGACGGUUGUCCGGUUUAAGCAUGUAGGCGGAGGUUCCAGGUAAAUCCGGUACCUUUUAACGCUGAGGUGUGAUGACGAGGCACUACGGUGCUGAAGUAACAAAUGCCCUGCUUCCAGGAAAAGCCUCUAAGCAUCAGGUAACACGAAAUCGUACCCCAAACCGACACAGGUGGUCAGGUAGAGAAUACCAAGGCGCUUGAGAGAACUCGGGUGAAGGAACUAGGCAAAAUGGUGCCGUAACUUCGGGAGAAGGCACGCUGAUAUGUAGGUGAAGCCCUGCGGGUGGAGCUGAAAUCAGUCGAAGAUACCAGCUGGCUGCAACUGUUUAUUAAAACACAGCACUGUGCAAACACGAAAGUGGACGUAUACGGUGUGACGCCUGCCCGGUGCCGGAAGGUUAAUUGAUGGGGUUAGCGGCAACGCGAAGCUCUUGAUCGAAGCCCGGUAAACGGCGGCCGUAACUAUAACGGUCCUAAGGUAGCGAAAUUCCUUGUCGGGUAAGUUCCGACCUGCACGAAUGGCGUAAUGAUGGCCAGGCUGUCUCCACCCGAGACUCAGUGAAAUUGAACUCGCUGUGAAGAUGCAGUGUACCCGCGGCAAGACGGAAAGACCCCGUGAACCUUUACUAUAGCUUGACACUGAACACUGGUCCUUGAUGUGUAGGAUAGGUGGGAGGCUUUGAAGCGUGGACGCCAGUCUGCGUGGAGCCGUCCUUGAAAUACCACCCUUUAAUGGCUGGUGUUCUAACGUGGACCCGUAAUCCGGGUUGCGGACAGUGUCUGGUGGGUAGUUUGACUGGGGCGGUCUCCUCCCAAAGAGUAACGGAGGAGCACGAAGGUUAGCUAAUCCUGGUCGGACAUCAGGAGGUUAGUGCAAUGGCAUAAGCUAGCUUGACUGCGAGAGUGACGGCUCGAGCAGGUGCGAAAGCAGGUCAUAGUGAUCCGGUGGUUCUGAAUGGAAGGGCCAUCGCUCAACGGAUAAAAGGUACUCCGGGGAUAACAGGCUGAUACCGCCCAAGAGUUCAUAUCGACGGCGGUGUUUGGCACCUCGAUGUCGGCUCAUCACAUCCUGGGGCUGAAGUAGGUCCCAAGGGUAUGGCUGUUCGCCAUUUAAAGUGGUACGCGAGCUGGGUUUAGAACGUCGUGAGACAGUUCGGUCCCUAUCUGCCGUGGGCGCUGGAGAAUUGAGGGGGGCUGCUCCUAGUACGAGAGGACCGGAGUGGACGCAUCACUGGUGUUCGGGUUGUCAUGCCAAUGGCACUGCCCGGUAGCUAAAUGCGGAAGAGAUAAGUGCUGAAAGCAUCUAAGCACGAAACUUGCCCCGAGAUGAGUUCUCCCUGAGACUUUAAGUCUCCUGAAGGAACGUUGAAGACGACGACGUUGAUAGGUCGGGUGUGUAAGCGCAGCGAUGCGUUGAGCUAACCGAUACUAAUGAACCGUGAGGCUUAACCUU
rnacentral:rRNA from 1 species